ensembl:lncRNA
GUCAGCUUCAAUGCACUGAUUGCUGGGCGAGUGCCAUGCUGCAGUACAGCCCCUCCUGGCAGGAGAGCUCCUUCUGUGUGCACUGCAGCGUGGAUGAUGAAUGUGCGUUAUUGCGGUCUGUUCUGUGACACAGCAUAGAAGGAGGCUCUCAGAGUAGCUGGGCUGUAAACUUGAAGAGUAGUUUCUUCUUUCAGAACCUUUCUAGCUGGUGUGGAAACCAUUCGCACACACAGAUCCCAUAUACAUAACACAUGACAAUCCAUUAAAAUACCUAUAUCUCAAAGCCUUUCAAUAUUUUUUUUUCCCUGGGAAUAUAGAUAAGAGUGGAAUAUUCAAAAGGAGCUGACACCACAAGUAAAUUGCACUGUAAAUGUGGGGACUUAAAAUAUUUCAGGACUAGGCUUCCUAUGAGUUGCAGCCUUUAAUUUCUGAGCUCUGUAAUUUUGAUAUGGUCUAUUUAUCAUGCUGCCUAGAGAGGUCCCCAUAAUGAGCUAAUUAAGUUUCAGAUACACAAGCAGUGACUAUGGUUUUUUACUGCUUUACCAAACAGGGAGCUUAAUAAAGUCCACACAAAAUUAAAAUACUGCCAUAGCUAAUUUAAUUGUUCCACUAUACUGCAUAAUUGAAACAGCAUUUGUGAACUGAUUUAAAGUUUCACUGCAUUCAAACCAGAUAAUUAAGAAAUCCAAUGUGCAGUUGAAAAGCUUUCAUCUGGCUUUAACUCGCUUUUCUUCCUGCAAUGGUCUCUUAAGUGCCAGACAGUUCCCUGAGCAGCAGUCCCUAUGAGAAUCACACCAAGCGACAGCAGUGUCCAGCAAACUGCUGGAUCAGAGUUCAGCACAGCAUCAGCUCUGGGCUCCGUAGGGAUACCUGUGGAUACCUGUAACAUAGCUCAAAGGUACUUAUGGAGUUCUGGUAAGUAAUUGCACCUGUUUCUGUGCCAAGAAGUUAUGAAAGUGAUGUGGGCUUAACCCUCUCAAGGGAAACAUUGUCUGAGUUUAACUUAGUUUUCACUCAGACAUGCAAUGUUAGUAAACGUUUUCUGAAAUGGCAAAGUUAACAUAGCUCUCUGACCUGCAGUAUGAGAAUAACACCAGGAAGGUGAGUACCUUGCAAGCAUAUCCAGCAAAACUGCUCAUUACAGGAUUAGUGCUGGAUCAGACUGAGUAUGGUCUGUGGCCACAUACUAAGCAAGAGACAUACAAAUGCAUGUUGAAUAAACAGUGCUAGCUGAGCUUAAUAACCUGUAGAAGAAAUAUUAUCCUGUCAAGCAGUUAUUAUAAGAUAUAUAUGAGAUCAAUCUAAAUCAAGAGGGAACAGGCAAUUUUAAUUUAAGAAUUUUCGUAGAGUUUUUUCCUCUUUAUAGCCUUUCAAGUUUUGUUAAUGUGGUUUGAUUGAGUAAAUAAGCACUGAGUUUGGUUUUUUUUUUGUUGUUGUUGUUGUUAGUGCAGUGGAAUAUGAAUGACAGGCUGAGCUGCAGCAUUUUGCUGCAAUUUCUCA